rnacentral:ncRNA from 2 species
AAAAUUCUUCGGGGCAGGGUGACCGACGCAGUUGGAAUUCCCUACCGGCGGUAAAGUCCGCGACCCGCGUAAGGCGGCUGAUCCGGUGACUGGCACAAGUCAGAAUUCCGGAACCGACAGUAAAGUCUGGAUGAGAGAAGAACACG